GAUACUAGGGUCAAAAAGUCAUGCGUUUCAUGCUUGCAUGAAAAAGCAUGACUUCUUGACCCGCAAAACACCGAAAAGUAGCCAUUUUUCGUAGAAAAAUGAGCGGAUUUGAGGUGUUUCAGGAUUGCGGGAGCAUGAAAUGCGGAGCAAUCUGU
rnacentral:sRNA from 1 species